rnacentral:rRNA from 1 species
GACGAACGCUGGCGGCGUGCUUAACACAUGCAAGUCGAACGGAAAGGCCCUGCUUUUGUGGGGUGUUCGAGUGGCGAACGGGUGAGUAACACGCGAGUAACCUGUCCUUGACUUUGGGAUAACUUCAGGAAACUGGGGCUCAUACCGGAUAGGAGCUCCUGCUGCAUGGUGGGGGUUGGAAAGUUUCGGCGGUUGGGGAUGGACUCGCGGCUUAUCAGCUUGUUGGUGGGGUAGUGGCUUACCAAGGCUUUGACGGGUAGCCGGCCUGAGAGGGUGACCGGCCACAUUGGGACUGAGAUACGGCCCAGACUCCUACGGGAGGCAGCAGUGGAGAAUAUUGCACAAUGGGCGGAAGCCUGAUGCAGCAACGCCGCGUGCGGGAUGACGGCCUUCGGGUUGUAAACCGCUUUCGCCUGUGACGAAGCGUGAGUGACGGUAAUGGGUAAAGAAGCACCGGCUAACUACGUG